rnacentral:tRNA from 18 species
GGCACCAUAGCCAAAAGGCCAAGGCACGAGUCUGCAAAACUCCGAUUUACCGGUUCGAGUCCGGUUGGUGCCUCCA